ensembl:lncRNA
AGGUGGGCUACCUGUUUGACCACCCCGGGACACUUCUCUUCAGUGCGUUCAUGUCAUUCUGGGCAGUCACCUUACUGGAGUACUGAAAACGCAAGAUGGCCACCCUGGCUCACCACUAGGACUGCAUGGACUUCCAAGAGGAGGAGUUUUGUGUGGUGAGGAUCUUCCUGGUGAAAGUGAUCAUGUACCGUGGGAUAGUGGGUGUGAUGAUGUACCGCACAGGCAGCGUUGUGCUGCGCACUCAGGCAGAGGAACAUUGCCAAUAUCUCCAGCAGUUUGGUGAAUCUGGCCCUGAUUCUGCUGAUGGGGCUGCAGCUCACUAAAUUGGGCUUUCUUGAUUGCCUUCACAUCAGGUUUCUGCUUUACCAGUAAAAGUUUGACAACAAUCUGAACGGAUAUGUUAAUUUCACUCUGGCCUAUGCUCCACACAG